rnacentral:telomerase_RNA from 1 species
AAUCAGUGAGUUUACGAGUGGACACAAAAGCACCGCGGAGGUGCAUAGAUGUGUUCGUGGUAACCUAACCCAACCUUAACAGAUUUGUGUUUUACUCUUUGCGAGUUAUACUAAUGACAACAAUGUCCUUUAUACAUGGUUUGUUCGCCCUGCUUCCAUUAAAAAACAGAAAGGGUAUUCUCGUAAACUCCCUUUUUACUAGUCUUGAAAUAAUUUUU